CAGGGAGACAACAAAAUGUUUAAUAUUAUUAUUUUGUCACCUUAGGUCGAUCGGUAUCUCACGUUCUUAAUUUAUUAAGAAUUUCAUUUCCUAAGUUUUUUUAGGUCACACCCAUUAUUUUUCCUGGGCCAUUAGCUCAGGUGGUUAGAGCGCACCCCUGAUAAGGGUGAGGUCCCUGGUUCAAGUCCAGGAUGGCCCAUAUCUCUAUGUUGGGGGUAUAGCUCAGUUGGUAGAGCGCCUGCUUUGCAAGCAGGAUGUCAGCGGUUCGAGUCCGCUUACCUCCACUGAUUACCACCUCUACCAUAAUUUGUAGAAAGGAAAGGUUUUGAGUUGUGAUCAAUUUCUGAACGAAUCUAGCUUCCUAAUGAAUUCAUUAAGAUGCUGGACUCAUUGAAUUAAUUUCAUUGAUUUCAGAGAACCUUGACAACUGCAUAGAUUUUUUUUGAAGACAAUAAGCAUCUUUAAUGAUGCAGAUUUAUUAUUUGUGCGAAUGCAUUAAUAACAAUUCUAUUAAGCUGAUGCUUCAAUAUUGAAGUUAUU
rnacentral:tRNA from 1 species